rnacentral:misc_RNA from 1 species
UCGCGGUUUCACAAUGCCUCUCAGAUUGGAAAUCAAGAGGAAGCUCGCUCAGAGGUCGGAGAGAGUGAAAUCGGUGGAUCUGCAUCCAUCAGAACCAUGGAUUCUUGCAAGCCUUUAUUCGGGAAGUGUCUGCAUCUGGAAUUACCAAACCCAGGCAAUGGUGAAAUCGUUCGAAGUCACAGAAUUACCUGUACGAUCGGCAAAGUUUAUAUCACGCAAGCAGUGGGUUGUUGCUGGGGCGGAUGAUAUGUACAUUCGUG